AGUGAACGCUGGCGGUAGGCCUAACACAUGCAAGUCGAACGGCAGCACAGUAAGAGCUUGCUCUUACGGGUGGCGAGUGGCGGACGGGUGAGGAAUACAUCGGAAUCUACUUUUUCGUGGGGGAUAACGUAGGGAAACUUACGCUAAUACCGCAUACGACCUACGGGUGAAAGCAGGGGAUCUUCGGACCUUGCGCGAUUGAAUGAGCCGAUGUCGGAUUAGCUAGUUGGCGGGGUAAAGGCCCACCAAGGCGACGAUCCGUAGCUGGUCUGAGAGGAUGAUCAGCCACACUGGAACUGAGACACGGUCCAGAUUCCUACGGGAGGCAGCAGUGGGGAAUAUUGGACAAAGGGCGCAAGCCUGAUCCAGCCAUACCGCGUGGGUGAAGAAGGCCUUCGGGUUGUAAAGCCCUUUUGUUGGGAAAGAAAAGCAGCAGGUUAAUACCCCGCUGUUCUGACGGUACCCAAAGAAUAAGCACCGGCUAACUUCGUG
rnacentral:rRNA from 1 species